UUUCCUGCUGUGAAGCUUUUUUCUUGUAUAAAGGUCAAUUUCUCCAUGACCACGGAAGUAAACAUCCUGAUGCAUUCUUGUCAUGUGAAUGUUGAGACCGUGUUCAUUUUUGAAAUCUCCUUUCUGACAGACCUAUUCCACAGGAUCAGCUGAGAUGUUAUUUCACUGGAUUAUUUAAUGGAUAGGCUUAUUGGGCAUAUAGUUGGAUAUCUCUGUCAUCAACAUGGAAGAUAUGUUUUGUUCCUAACCAUCUAUAAUCCAUUCUCUAUGAAGUUCAGCCUGUCUGCUCUUCCUUUGAAAAUACACAGUUAGUCAACCAACAAAGAAAUACACAAACUUGAAGG